ACCAAAAUAAAAUACCGGUUCUCGUAUGAUCACCGAAGUUAAGCAAAGUCGAGCCUGGUCAAUACCUACAAGGGUGACCGCUUGGAAAUAAUGGGUGUUGUAA